rnacentral:ribozyme from 1 species
UGCCUAGCAACUCCUAUCCCUACCUCCUCGCGGUACUGACCGGGGUAGGUUGCUCUUAGGGAAUAUCGGACAACCAACUCCGGUGGG